GCAAGGUUCUGAUAGAUGGGUGUGUCCUGGUGGUGGCAAGGUUCUGAUAGAUGGGUGUGUCCUGGUGGUGGCAAGGUUCUGAUAGAUGGGUGUGUCCUGGUGGUGGCAAGGUUCUGAUAGAUGGGUGUGUCCUGGUGGUGGCAAGGUUCUGAUAGAUGGGUGUGUCCUGGUGGUGGCAAGGUUCUGAUAGAUGGGUGUGUCCUGGUGGUGGCAAGGUUCUGAUAGAUGGGUGUGUCUUGGUGGUGGCAAGGUUCUGAUAGAUGGGUGUGUCCUGGUGGUGGCAAGGUUCUGAUAGAUGGGUGUGUCCUGGUGGUGGCAAGGUUCUGAUAGAUGGGUGUGUCCUGGUGGUGGCAAGGUUCUGAUAGAUGGGUGUGUCCUGGUGGUGGCAAGGUUCUGAUAGAUGGGUGUGUCCUGGUGGUGGCAAGGUUCUG